CAGUCAGAGAGGAGUCUGACUCUCACUAAUAGAUUCGACAGAGUCUUUUGGUGGAAACCUCAUGUUCCUGGUGUAAGAGGCGUGAAUUUCUUUUUCAAAGGUAGUGAGGACCACCAGAGGAAAAAUCAAGUAAAGUGGACCUAGGAAAAGACGAUCAUCCUCAGUAGCCCCCAGACAGCAUUCAGACCUGAAGCUCCCCCCUCGCUUCACCUGGCUGAGAAGAGAAGGGCUUUCACUCACCUCUGGGCCCAGGAGGCUUAACAGGGCAACCCACUGCAAAUCUGGGAAACAGAAAAAGAGGCAGCAGGCAAGAUAAAAAGGAAGACAUUGCCAAGGUGAGACUCUACAAACAUCAAGGAAUUCAAUACCAGGGAGGAAUCGGGGUGGUCUAUGGCCUCUCGCCACUUGGAGAUGGAAGACCUUGUGGUCUGAGGAUGCCUUGCUCCGAGGCGCUGUUGCGUGGAAUCCUGAAGAGAAUUCCUGGUCAUUACCUUCCUGUGUUUUCAGGUUGAGCGUUGGUGGAGCGUGGAGGGGGAGAGUGGGAGGUUGAGGGUGGGCCAUUAUUCACAGACGAAAGCCAUUCUGCUCUGAAUUGUUGAUGCUCCUCUUAGUCCGAUUUGAAGCCAGCACCAUCUUGGAAGGACCUAGAGAAGAAAACCUCUGCUGUUAUAGGCACACUUUUGUUGUGGCUGUUUUUUUUUUUUUUAAAGAUUGGCACCUGAGCUAACAACUGUUGCCAAUCUUUUUUUUUCUGCUUUUUUUUUUUUUUUUUACUCCCCAGAUCCCCCCAGUAUAUAGUUGUAUAUUUUAGUUGUGGGUCCUUCUAGUUGUGGCAUGUGGGAUGCUGCCUCACCGUGGCCUGAUGAGCAGUGCCAUGUCCGCACCCAGGAUCCGAACCGGGGAAACCCUGGGCCGUCGAAGCAGAGCACGUGAAAUUAACCACUCAGCCAUGGGGCCAGCCCCACACUUUUGUUUUUAACUGCACAGUAGAAAAGAAACAAGAGACUCUUGAGUCAGAGUCCAAGAUGAGUAGAUACAAAUGGCAUGGAUGACGGAUCGAUC
rnacentral:lncRNA from 1 species